rnacentral:rRNA from 1 species
AUGAACGCUGGCGGCGUGCCUAAUACAUGCAAGUCGAGCGAACGGACGAGAAGCUUGCUUCUCUGAUGUUAGCGGCGGACGGGUGAGUAACACGUGGAUAACCUACCUAUAAGACUGGGAUAACUUCGGGAAACCGGAGCUAAUACCGGAUAAUAUUUUGAACCGCAUGGUUCAAAGGUGAAAGACGGUCUUGCUGUCACUUAUAGAUGGAUCCGCGCUGCAUUAGCUAGUUGGUAAGGUAACGGCUUACCAAGGCAACGAUGCAUAGCCGACCUGAGGGGGGGAUCGGCCACAAGGAAACUGAACCCGGGGCAGAAACCCACGGGGAGGACGGAGGAGGGAACUUUCCGAAUGGGGGGAAAGCCCAAGGGGGGAACCGCGGGGGAGUGAGGAAAGCUUUGGGAUCAAAAAACUCUUUUAAUAGGGAAGAAAAAUGGGGUAAGAAACGGGACACAAGUUGACGGUUCCAAGGCAAAAACCCCGGGUAAAAAACGG